UAGGGAAUCUUCGGCAAUGGGGGGAACCCUGACCGAGCAACGCCGCGUGAGUGAAGAAGGUUUUCGGAUCGUAAAGCUCUGUUGUUAAGGAAGAACGAGUGUGAGAAUGGAAAGUUCAUGCUGUGACGGUACUUAACCAGAAAGGGACGGCUAACUACGUGCCAGCAGCCGCGGUAAUACGUAGGUCCCGAGCGUUGUCCGGAUUUAUUGGGCGUAAAGCGAGCGCAGGCGGUCAAUUAAGUCUGAUGUGAAAGCCCCCGGCUCAACCGGGGAGGGUCAUUGGAAACUGGUUGACUUGAGUGCAGAAGAGGAGAGUGGAAUUCCAUGUGUAGCGGUGAAAUGCAUAGAUAUAUGGAGGAACACCGGUGGCGAAAGCGGCUCUCUGGUCUGUAACUGACGCUGAGGCUCGAAAGCGUGGGGAGCGAACAGG
rnacentral:rRNA from 1 species